rnacentral:rRNA from 1 species
AUUGAACGCUGGCGGCAGGCUUAACACAUGCAAGUCGAGCGGAGAUGAGGUGCUUGCACCUUAUCUUAGCGGCGGACGGGUGAGUAAUGCUUAGGAAUCUGCCUAUUAGUGGGGGACAACAUUCCGAAAGGAAUGCUAAUACCGCAUACGUCCUACGGGAGAAAGCAGGGGAUCUUCGGACCUUGCGCUAAUAGAUGAGCCUAAGUCGGAUUAGCUAGUUGGUGGGGUAAAGGCCUACCAAGGCGACGAUCUGUAGCGGGUCUGAGAGGAUGAUCCGCCACACUGGGACUGAGACACGGCCAGACUCCUACGGGAGGCAGCAGUGGGGAAUAUUGGACAAUGGGGGGAACCCUGAUCCAGCCAUGCCGCGUGUGUGAAGAAGGCCUUAUGGUUGUAAAGCAUUUUAAGCGAGGAGGAGGCUACUGAGACUAAUACUCUUGGAUAGUGGACGUUACUCGCAGAAUAAGCACCGGCUAACUCUGUGCCAGCCGCCGCCGUAAAAC